AUUGAAGCAAAACGCAUAUCAGUUGAUCAGGGUGCAUAAUUCUAUUAUUAGGUAAAAAUCAGGGUGCAUAUUUCUAUUAUUAAGUAAUAAAAAAAAUGGUGCAGUACUAUAGUUGGCAAUUACUAUAGUGGGCAUAUUUUUGUUUGAUUGACUGGGUAUAGGAUAUUUAAGUGCUUCAGUGAUUUGUAUGAUUAUGGAGUUCUAAAAGUUUCUUUUAUAGAAUUACUCUGUUUUAGCCAGAAAAGUCUUUGUUAUACAAAAUUAAAAGAUGGGGUGAAAGGUACCUUGUGGAUGC
rnacentral:lncRNA from 1 species